rnacentral:sRNA from 1 species
AAAAUAAUAAAAAGAAAAGAGAGAGUGUAGAAAGUUUCUCAAGUGAGAAACUAUGAGAUACUCUCUACAAGCCAUCAUUAUAUUUCUCUCCUCUCAAUUGGUUCAAUUUUUUCAUGAAAAUAAAAAUUUAAUCAUAUAAUAAA